rnacentral:rRNA from 1 species
CCUACGGGAGGCAGCAGUAGGGAAUCUUCCACAAUGGGCGAAAGCCUGAUGGAGCAACGCCGCGUGGGUGAAGAAGGUCUUCGGAUCGUAAAACCCUGUUGUUAGAGAAGAAAGUGCGUGAGAGUAACUGUUCACGUGUCGACGGUAUCUAACCAGAAAGCCACGGCUAACUACGUGCCAGCAGCCGCGGUAAUACGUAGGUGGCAAGCGUUAUCCGGAUUUAUUGGGCGUAAAGGGAACGCAGGCGGUCUUUUAAGUCUGAUGUUAACGCCUUCGGCUUAACCGGAGUAGUGCAUUGGACACUGGUAGACUUGAGUGCAGCAGAGGGUAGUGGAACUCCAUGUGUAGCGGU